UACGGAGGGUGCGAGCGUUAAUCGGAAUUACUGGGCGUAAAGAGUGCGUAGGUGGUUGAAUAAGUUAUCUGUGAAAUCCCUGGGCUUAACCUGGGCAGGUCAGAUGAUACUGUUUGACUCGAGUAUGGGAGAGGGUAGUGGAAUUUCCGGUGUAGCGGUGAAAUGCGUAGAGAUCGGAAGGAACACCAGUGGCGAAGGCGGCUACCUGGCCUAAUACUGACACUGAGGCACGAAAGCGUGGGGAGCAAACAGG
rnacentral:rRNA from 1 species